UACAGAGGGCUCAAGCGUUGUUCGGAAUCACUGGGCGUAAAGGGUGCGUAGGCCGCACGGUAAGUCAGAGGUGAAAUCCCGGAGCUCAACUCCGGAAUGGCCUCCGAUACUGCCGUGCUCGAGGACUGGAGAGGAGUCUGGAAUUCACAGUGGAGCAGUGAAAUGCGUGGAUAUUGUGAGGAACACUAGUGGCGAAGGCGAGACUCUGGACAGUUCCUGACGCUGAGGCACGAAGGCCAGGGGAGCAAACGGG
rnacentral:rRNA from 1 species